GCGAGGUAGAGCAAAUCUCAAAAAAACAAUCUCAGUUCAGACUGCAGGCUGCAACUCGCCUGCACGAAGUCGGAAUUGCUAGUAAUCGUAGGUCAGCAUACUACGGUGAAUACGUUCCCGGGCCUUGUACACACCGCCCGUCAAACCAUGAGAGUUGGCAACACCCGAAGUCGGUAGUCUAACCGCAAGGACGGACGCCGCCGAAGGUGGGUUGAUGAUUAGGGUUAAGUCGUAACAAGGUAGC
rnacentral:rRNA from 1 species